GUGCUUAACACAUGCAAGUCGAACGGAAAGGCCCCUUCGGGGGUACUCGAGUGGCGAACGGGUGAGUAACACGUGGGUAAUCUGCCCUGCACUUCGGGAUAAGCCUGGGAAACUGGGUCUAAUACCGGAUAGGACCACUUGGCGCAUGCCUUGUGGUGGAAAGCUUUUGCGGUGUGGGAUGGGCCCGCGGCCUAUCAGCUUGUUGGUGGGGUGACGGCCUACCAAGGCGACGACGGGUAGCCGGCCUGAGAGGGUGUCCGGCCACACUGGGACUGAGAUACGGCCCAGACUCCUACGGGAGGCAGCAGUGGGGAAUAUUGCACAAUGGGCGCAAGCCUGAUGCAGCGACGCCGCGUGGGGGAUGACGGCCUUCGGGUUGUAAACCUCUUUCAGCAGGGACGAAGCGCAAGUGACGGUACCUGCAGAAGAAGCACCGGCCAACUACGUGCCAGCAGCCGCGGUAAUACGUAGGGUGCGAGCGUUGUCCGGAAUUACUGGGCGUAAAGAGCUCGUAG
rnacentral:rRNA from 1 species